ensembl:lncRNA
CACCCAUCCACUGCACCCCUCUGCUCCCCUUCCUCUAAGGCAAUAAACAGCACUUUCUCUCUUUCCUCCCUCUUUUUUUUUUUUUUUUUUAGGAUGAAAGCCAGCGGUUCAUCCUCCUUUCUUUCAGAGCUGUGCUCCUAAAAGCAAAACAGCACUCAGGGCUGCUGGCUACAAAGCAGAAUGCAUGCACACAACUGGUGGGACUAAAGGAGCAGCGCCAAGGAAGCAUUUAUCUUCAUGUUAUCUCCUAAUUUAAGAUCCAUUCUGGCAAAACUUCACUUCUUCUGCUUAAGCUGCAAUGUCAAGCUGCAAAUAUUCAGCAGCUGAGGAGCCGCACCUGGUUUCUCCCUGAGUUGGAUGUGUUAUGCCUACAAGACAGGACAAACUUGGCAGCUGUUGCACUGAAAGCAGGAGGCGAGCAGCACAGCAGCAGAGCCGGAUACUUUGUAUGUCCAGGGGCACAUGAGGGAUGACAUUUAUUUCUUUCGCUUCGGAUUUUGCUGGCAAAGCUGACUGCUUUCUUUCGGCCUUGACUGGGACAUCCAGACAUCCAGUGGGAAACAUUUUUUUUUUCUUCCCUUUUGGAUUGUAAGCGUAUCCUUUCUCCUAACACUUCUGUUGCUCAUGUUCUUAUUUGGAGAAAGCUUUUCUUUUUUUUUUUUUUUUUCUGAGGCUAUGAGACAAAGGAAACAUUUGGCUGGAGCGAAGUGUUCUUAGAGCAGAAAGGAAGCAGAGUCUGAGGCACAGAACUUCAAACAUUUUUCCACUUGCAAAGCAGCACGUGGCCAGAAGGGAAAGACCACAUCCCAGCCCCACUGCAGCUGAUGGGAAACACGCCACCAACUUCCAUGGGAUGGGAGAGCCACCUGAGGAAUCCAAACUCACUGGCCUGCCCCCCAUAAUAAAGGCUACUGAUAAUGUGUUAUUAGUGUUGCUGUAGCAGCUCGCAGUCAAGGGGGAGGACGUCUUCUGUCCUUGCGGGCCAUGCAAGCCCAGAUCAAAGAGACGCUCCUUGCCCCACAGAUCUUGAAAUCAAAGUUUAUGGCUCACCCAAUGGCUUAUCGAGAAACCACAUGGGGAAGGCACCCCGGCCUUGCAGCUGUGCCCUACUACACUCCUAGCCAGGCACAGUAUUUGCAAAACAGCCAUGUGUCUAUGCCUACCUGUGCCAGUCCAAAUGUGUAAUGCUAGAACAGAGCACCACAAGCACUCUGAAUUUAGCAGCAUGUUCAGAAGAGAAAAAAAGUGCUCGCCAAAAGUUGGAAAGAUAAAAAAAAAAAAAUUCAAUAAUUUGGUGAUACAGCACCGGAUGAUUCAGCAUCAAGGGAAAUACCAUCAUUAUCUUUGGCAUCAGAACCUCUAAAUCUAAGCUGAGAUGCUGGAAAAAUAAAAGUUGUUGUAAUCAGAAUCACAAAAGAGAAAAGGCCUUUUAAACUUCAUUGAGAUGCAACUUGGCUGGAAAUAAAAAGAGCAGAACCCGAAAGAAAGAAAUUCAAAAGGGAAAAGCUUGAAGCAAAGUUCCUUCAAGCAUGGGUGGCCGGGGCCACGUGAGGAGAAAUACACAUGUAAACAGCUCUUCAUAAAGUCACAUACCUUACUCUUUUUCAAAGGUUUCAUCAGACUUUUUCUAUCAGGAGUGAUGGUUUCUCAGAGCAACAACAGGGCGCUGUGAACACAGAGUUGAGGGGAGAUGGUCCCAGAACAAAAAAAAUGUCCUGAUCUGCAGACUUGAGAAGGACCAGCAUGGUCAAAUGAAAUCUUGAAGAGGACUGCCAUUUCCAGUCAGCAUCCCCAUCUCAUACCAAGGGAUUAGAAAUCACUCUUAAUAAGGUAAGCAUUAGGAGGCUGAAGUUCUUGGCAGAGGUCUAUAUCCUACCAGCUCUUAUGUUUGGCUGCUAUAUGCGACUCAUUACAUGGAGAGCUGACAAAUUUUGGUCUGAAACAUCCGCAGACAUGACAGCAGUAGCCUCUUACUGAAGCUAUUUGGAGCCGGCCACAGAUCUGGGCACUCAAGGCUCUGCCAAAGUCUCACUCAGCGGACACUGAGCACAUAUGCCACUGGUACACCCUGGGGACAUGUCACCUUGACUCACCCUGUGCUGUCACUAUGCUGGUUCUGCAGCCUCUAGCUACACAUGCCAGUGCCCUAGAGCUGUGGCAGGAGGUUGCAGUGGUAAGGCAAAGGUGAAAAACAUCUCCUGAAAGUGAAAAUCGAUUUUGCUAAUGCUAUCCUGGCCAGAACUCUCAGCCCACUUCUCCACAUUAAAGAAGGAUUUUAUGGAAGAUUGGGAUGGCAGUAGGGGAUGACCACAUUCCAUCGUCUUGAUCCAGGAAGACUUUGUCUGCUCACAAGCUCAGGUAAUGCAAAAGAACAGUGAGUGACUUACUUAGGCUCUUUGCUGUGCAAGGCAAGAAGUUCUGCCACGUUUUCACUCUGAAGUUUUCACAGCUUCAGCAUUAAAAUGCCUCACAUGAAAGGAUGUUCAUCUUUUCUUUCUCCACAGCAUAAGCCACAGCUUGUGGAAGCCAAAGGCUUAAAGCGUGAUAUAGGACCAUACUGCUAUAUCUCUGUCAGCUGAGGUUUAGAAAAAACAAAUGCACAAAACCCAAAACCUCCCCCUAAACCCAUAAAUACUGCAGUCUGCAAAGCAAGGGUUGAAGUGUGAACUGCACUGUUCUCAUGGUGGGGAGGAGAGGAAACAACUUAUACCAUUGUAGUUACUGCUGUUAAUGCCAAGAUUCAAAGAAGAAAGAAGAUGAUUAGGGUAUGUUAGUCAGGCUCAAAGACCUGCUUCUGUCUCUUUCUGCUACUGGCACUUGUAUUUCAUAGUAUAUUGUGUGUCCAUGUCACUGAGAACUUGUCCCCGAGAGACAAGUUCUCUCAGGGACAAGACUGAUAGUAGACAUAAUAUUGUCUGUUCUCCUACAGUCUGUGUUAAAUCAAUAUUGCCCAGAGAAGUUGUGGAUGUCCCAUUCUGGAGAUGUUCAAGGCCGGGUUUGAUGGAGCUUUGGGCAGCCUACUGUAGUGGGAAAUGUCCCUGCUCAUGGCAGGCAGUUGAAACUGGGUGACCUUUAAGUCCUCUUCAAACCAUUCUAUGGUUGUAUGAUAUCCAAGCUUUAGUCAUUGGCCUAAACCAUCCUAGGCACUUGAAGGCAGGCCUUCAUUUAACUUUUCAGUUCCUAUGCUUAUGUUUCAUAGCAUUGUGGAUUUGGAAUAGCUUUACCCUAUGCAAACACAUAAAUCUUGCACGUUGCUAGUCAUUGGAUUAGAGUUUAGUUUUCCAUUUUUUUUUUUUUUUGUUAGUAGCUACUCUUAAGUAGAGCAUCAGUGUAUUGCCAUGUAAAUCAAUGGACACAUUCUUCAGUCUCAGCAG